GACGAACGCUGGCGGCGUGCCUAACACAUGCAAGUCAGGGGGAAAGCUGGCUUCGGCCAGUGCUUAACACAUGCAAGUCAAGGAGAAAGUUACCUUCGGGUGAUGAGUAAACUGGCGCACGGGUGAGUAAUAUAUAAGCAAUCUACCCAUAGGUUUGGAAUAACGACGAGAAAUCGGCGCUAAUACCAAAUGAUGCAGCGGCACCGCAUGGUGAUGUUGUUAAAGUUCAUGAAACGCCUAUGGAUGAGCUUGUAUCUGAUUAGCUAGUUGGUGAGGUAAUGGCUCACCAAGGCAACGAUCAGUAGCUGGUCUGAGAGGAUGAUCAGCCACAUUGGAACUGAGACACGGUCCAGACUCCUACGGGAGGCAGCAGUGAGGAAUAUUGGGCAAUGGGCGAAAGCCUGACCCAGCAACGCCGCGUGAAGGAUGAAGGUCGUAAGAUUGUAAACUUCUUUUAGAAGGGACGAAAAAACAGGUUGGAAGCCUGAAUUGACGGUACCUCUCUGAAUAAGCCCCGGCUAACUACGUGCCAGCAGCCGCGGUAAUACGUAGGGGGCAAGCGUUGUCCGGAUUUACUGGGUGUAAAGGGCGCGCAGGCGGGC
rnacentral:rRNA from 1 species